CGCCGCCGCCGCCCCGGCCGGCCCACGCGGGGCUCGGUAGUCGCACCCGCCGCGUCCCAGGUAGGCUUCUGCCUUCUCCUGCUGCCAUGAUAACUGUGAUUACAGCUGGAAGCUUGGAGCACAAGAGAUAUCCAGAAAAUGUCGUCUUCCUUGAAGUUGCAACGUCUCCUGUCUUCUAGCAUCUUCCUGGGUUUCGUGCUCCCAUCUAGGGAGAUUCUGGAAGGACGGCUCCGAGGCUUCUGACACGUGAGGGGAAAACCACCGGGCAGCUCAUAGCAGUGUGUACUCCUUCCCCACUCACCUGUUGACAGGAGAUGUUUCCACCACCCGUUGCAAAAUGAGCCACGGUGCCAGUUCUCAGCUGGCUGAUUCUCCUCAGCUCUCCAAGAGGAGCUUGCUCAGCAUCCUCGGGAGCCCACAGCCUGAAAGGAUGAGCUUGUCAGACUCCAUGUCCCCAACCCCAAAGAGCGGCACUCCUUCCCCCGGCCCACUGCAGCUCCCCCUGUUGAACUCCACCUGCCACGACAGCGACUGGGAGAGCCGGGAAGAGUUGCGCCUGCGAGAGCUCGAAGAAGCCCGUGCCCGAGCCGCCCAGAUGGAGAAGACCAUGCGCUGGUGGUCCGACUGCACCGCCAACUGGCGGGAGAAGUGGAGCAAGGUCCGUGCGGAGCGCAACAAGGCACGGGAGGAGGUGCGCCAGCUGCGCCAGAAGCUGGAGACCUUGAGCAAGGAACUGACCGGCCUGAAACGAGAGAAGCAGGAGGCCCUCAACGAGAACCAGCAACUGGGCAAGGAAGUGGCCCGUCUGAAGGGGGAAGACAAGAAGGAGAAAGAACUGGACAACCGCAUUGCCUCUGAGAAGGAGAGCGAGGCCUCCCCGGAACAGGAGCCGGUGCGUGACGUGGGCUCCGAGAAGGAGGUGAAAAACAAGUCCCUACAGGAGUUUGAGCUGAUGGAGAACCUCCUGAAGAACAAGCAGGAAGAAGGUGAAUGCUGGGACCAACGGAGCUCAGUUAGCGUCCGUUCAUCCUUCACCCGUCAGGAGAGGAAUCGGCUGCUUUGGGAAGACGUUUCAGCCAUUGAGGAGGAUGCCACCAAGAUCACCGCCCUGAAGCUACGGCUGGACGAAUCUCAGAAAGUGCUCCUCAAAGAAAGGGAGGACAAGCUGUCCCUCAGCAAGAACAUUGAGAAGCUGGAAGGUGAACUAAGCCAGUGGAAGAUCAAGUAUGAGGAGCUGAACAAGAAUAAGCAGGAGGUGCUGAAGCAGCUGAACAUUCUGAAGGAGAUUCACCAGGAUGAGCUGGGACGUAUCUCUGAGGAUCUAGAAGACGAACUGGGGGCUCGCUCAAGUAUGGACAAGAAACUGGUGGAGUUACGAUCGGAGAUGGAGCGUCUGCAGGCUGAGAACGCAGCCGAGUGGGGCAAGCGAGAGCGGCUGGAAACAGAGAAGCUGAAUCUGGAACGGGAGAAUAAGAAGCUGCGGGCCCAGAUUGAGGAUCUCGAGGAGAUCCUGGCUCGGAAACGGCGGCAAACCACUUGUGCUCUCGACACAGAUUUUAAAACAGUCCAAGCGGAGCUGUUUGAGAAGAAUAAGGAGCUGGCCGACCUGAAGCACGUCCAUGCCAAACUGAAGAAGCAGCACCAGGAGAAGAUGGCUGAACUGGGCCACACGAUCCGGCGAGUGGAGCAGCAUGAGGGAGAAGUGAAGAAGUUGCGGCUGCGAGUGGAGGAACUCAAGAAGGAACUGGCCCAAGCGGAGGACGAGCUGGAUGACGCUCAUAACCAGGUCCGCAAACUGCAAAGAUCGCUGGAUGAGCAGACGGAACAGAACGAAAGUCUCCAAGUCCAGCUGGAACACCUGCAAUCCAGAGAAAUCCAAGAGAAUGACAUUGGUGAAAACAUCUGUACAGGUGGGAUCAACCUAUUCUCCACAGAACCUGAGGGCAGAACAAGAAGUAAUGGAUAGAAGCUCCGGAGCCGUGGUGGCGCAGUGGUUAGAAUGCAGUAUUGCAGGCUAACUGUCUACUGCCAAGAGUUCGAUCCUGACCAGCUCAAGUUUGGCUUAGCCUUCCAUCCUUCCGAGCAUGAGAACUCUUCUCAUUCAGAAGCCACAGGAAAAUUAUGAAACACGCCUGCGACUGAGCAUGGGAAAAUCAAGCUGGACUGGUGCACUGAAAAGAACUCGGAGAUGCAAGAGUAUUAAAAAUUGAUAUUCCAGCAAGGCCAGUAAAUCAUAUGCAGAGGGGGGAGAGUGUGCUCACCAAUCAGCAAUGUUCACAUGGCAGAUCUGAGGUCAGUUCUCAUCACGCAACAGGAAUAUUGGACAGACAGGAAUAUUUGCAAUGGAUGCAUUUCUGCGAAGAGUCUCAGAGUGCAACCAAAGCAACUGAGCCAGCCCCAAAUUAACCAAUAGGGAAGCUAACUACAGGUAGUCCUCACCUUAUGAGCACAAUUCAGCCCAAACUUUAUGCUGUUAAGGAGAAUUUCCUAAGUGAGUUUUGCCCCAUUUUACGACAUUGCUUCCCAUUUCUUGUUAAGCGAUUCACUGCAGCUGAUGACUUAGUAACCCUGAUGUUAAGUGAACCUGGCUCCCCCAUAGAUGGCCUCACAAUGUCACCAGGAAUCAAGCUUGACAGCGGACCUGGCUUGACAUUCUUAUUUUAUUCAUUUAUUUUUCUUGAUGCAGAGUCCCGCCUCCAGCUGUAAGGAUUCUGGAAUCACAAAAUGAAGUGGCUUUUUGGUACUCCAACAGGGAAUUAUUGGAGUACCAAUCAUUGGCCAUUUGCCUUCGUUCACGGCCAUGGAAGCGAUCGUGUGCAUCAUUUGCUUAGCCAAUUAAUUAAUACAAUUCAUGCAAUACCCAACACUUCACGGGAAUGUUUUCAUAGGUUCGUAAGAAAACACCAGCCUUUCAAACAAUUAAAGAAGCAAGGAUGUCCCCACCAGGCACACCCACCCCUCCUUGGAAGGGGCUGCAGCCAUCCUAGCCAAAAGCCUGGGCAAAGAGCCAGCUCUUCCUAGCAAACAUCAGAAAGCUCCAGUGGGCACCAGUUCACUGGAGGUUUUCAAGAAAAUAUUGCACGGCCCAUUUGUCCAGGAUGGAAUAAGGACUCCUGCCUUGACAGGGGGUUGGACUAGAAGACCUCCAAGGUCCCUUCCAACUCUGCUAUUCUCUGUCCUGUACCUACAUGGCAGGAGUGGAGGAAAGUUGCCUGGUUGUGGCUGUUCCCUUGACUUUUUCAACUCCUGUCCUACGAGAAGUGGGGAGACAGGCGAACAAGAUGGUGCUUUGACCAAGCAAGUAUCAUCCUAGCACGUUUUUCACCCCCCUAGCCAAAGACUCCUAUAAACUGGCAGAAAACCCUCUUUCCAAUUUGACAGGUGAAAAUGAUUAAAUGU